AUUGAACGCUGGCGGCAUGCUUUACACAUGCAAGUCGAACGGCAGCACGGGUGCUUGCACCUGGUGGCGAGUGGCGAACGGGUGAGUAAUAUAUCGGAACGUACCCGGAAAUGGGGGAUAACGUAGCGAAAGUUACGCUAAUACCGCAUAUGCCCUGAGGGGGAAAGCGGGGGAUUCGUAAGAACCUCGCGUUUUCGGAGCGGCCGAUAUCGGAUUAGCUAGUAGGUGAGGUAAAGGCUCACCUAGGCGACGAUCCGUAGCUGGUCUGAGAGGACGACCAGCCACACUGGAACUGAGACACGGUCCAGACUCCUACGGGAGGCAGCAGUGGGGAAUUUUGGACAAUGGGCGCAAGCCUGAUCCAGCCAUGCCGCGUGAGUGAAGAAGGCCUUCGGGUUGUAAAGCUCUUUCAGCCGGAAAGAAAACGCACAAGUUAAUACCCUGUGUGGAUGACG
rnacentral:rRNA from 1 species